AUUUUUUAAAAGCAGUAAGUUUAUAAUUAUUUUAUUUUUAUUUGUGAAGGGGAGGUCACAUUUAAAUUUAUUAUAAAGUAUUAUUACUGUACCUUUUGUAUCAGGGUUAAUUUAAUUAAAUUAAAAAUUUAAUUUUCUCGAAAAUUGAAGAUUUAUAGUUAUUUUAUUUUAUUGUAGAAAAAUUAAGAAAAAAAUUACUUUGGGUUUGAUAAAAAUUUAGUUUUUUUAUAUCUAGUUACUUUAUGUUAUGAUUUAAUCAUUCAAAUAUUUGUAUUAAUUUAUAAAAUAUUAAUUAUGAUUGUGGGGAUAAUCUUGUAAUUAAUUUUAUAGUUAAAAACUUAUGUUUAUUUGGUAUGCUUAGAAUUAGCUAUUUUAAUAUGUAAAAAUUAUAUUAAUUGAAAUAAUAUUUUAUAAUAACUUUAUGGGGAGAUAAAGUUAUUAAAAUUAUUAAAUUAUUUCGAAAAAUAAUGAUUGAAUUAGUAGAAACAUAAAAUAAUAAUUAAGAAUUCGGCAAUUUGAAAUUUUCGUCUGUUUAUCAAAAACAUUUUUGGGAGAAAUAUAUUUUUGAUAUUGCCUGCUCUAUGCAUUAAUUGUAAAUAGCUGCAGUAUUUUGACUGUACAAAGGUAGCAUAAUCAUUAGUCUUUUAAUUGAAGGCUGGUAUGAAUGGCUUGACGGAAAAUAUACUUUUUUAUUUUUAUUAAAUUGAAUUUAAUAUUUAAGUUAAAAAGCUUAAAUUUUUGAAAGGGACGAGAAGACCCUAUAGAAUUUUAUAAUUAAUUAUGAAAUUAAUAUUAUUUAAUUGGGGUGAUUGAAGAUUAACUUUUUUUUUUAUUUCAUUUUUUAUGAUUGCUUGAUCCUAAAUUUUAGAUAAAAAGAUAAAAUUACCUUAGGGAUAACAGCAUAAUUUUUUUUAAAAGAUCUUAUUAAUAAAAAAGAUUAUGACCUCGAUGUUGAAUUAAGAUAAUAUUUAGGUGUAGAAGUUUAAAUAUUUAGUCUGUUCGACUUGAAUUUUUACAUGAUUUGAGUUCAAACCGGCGUGAGCCAGGUUGGUUUCUAUCUUUUCAAAUUUUUCUUGUUUUAGUACGAAAGGAUUUAUUGAGUAUAUUUUUAUGUUACAAAAUAGAACGAAAGUU
rnacentral:rRNA from 1 species